rnacentral:rRNA from 1 species
AUUGAACGCUGGCGGCAUGCCUUACACAUGCAAGUCGAACGGCAGCGCGGGAGCAAUCCUGGCGGCGAGUGGCGAACGGGUGAGUAAUAUAUCGGAACGUGCCCAGUAGUGGGGGAUAGCCCGGCGAAAGCCGGAUUAAUACCGCAUACGACCUACGGGUGAAAGGGGGGGAUCGCAAGACCUCUCGCUAUUGGAGCGGCCGAUAUCAGAAUAGGUAGUUGGUGGGGUAAAGGCCUACCAAGCCUGCGAUCUGUAGUUGGUCUGAGAGGACGACCAGCCACACUGGGACUGAGACACGGCCCAGACUCCUACGGGAGGCAGCAGUGGGGAAUUUUGGACAAUGGGCGCAAGCCUGAUCCAGCAAUGCCGCGUGCAGGAAGAAGGCCUUCGGGUUGUAAACUGCUUUUGUCAGGGAAGAAAUCCUCUAGGUUAAUACCCUUGGGGGGAUGACGGUACCUGAAGAAUAAGCACCGGCUAACUACGUGCCAGCAGCCGCCGUAAAAC